rnacentral:rRNA from 1 species
CCUACGGGAGGCUGCAGUGAGGAAUAUUGGUCAAUGGGCGCGAGCCUGAACCAGCCAAGUAGCGUGAAUGAUGACUGUCCUACGGGUUGUAAACUUCUUUUAUAAAGGAAUAAAGUGAGGCACGUGUGCCUUUUUCUCUGUAUUUUAUGAUUAAGGAUCCGCUAACUCCGGGCCAGCAGCCGCGGUAAUACGGAGGAACCGAGCGUUAUCCGGAUUUAUUGGGUUUAAAGGGAGCGUAGAUGGGUUGUUAAGGCAGUCGUGAAAGUUUGCGGCUCAACCGUAAAAUUGCAAUUGAUACUGGCAGUCUUGAGUACAGUAGAGGUAGGCGGAAUUCGUGGUGUAGCGGUGAAAUGCUUAGAUAUCACGAAGAACUCCGAUUGCGAAGGCAGCUUACUAAACUGCCACUGACAUUGAUGCUCGAAAGUGUGGGUAUCAAACAGGAUUAGAUACCCGAGUAGUC